GAAGGAAGGACUGGGAGCAGGAGCUGCAGAGGCAGCUGGGAGGUUGUGUCUGCCAGGCAGGCUGAUGGGAGUCUUCCCUCCUUGGUCCUAGAUCACACGCCGCUAUGCUGAGUUCUCCUCUGCACUGGUCAGCAUCAACCAGACCAUCCCCAAUGAACGCACCCUGCAGCUGCUGGGACAGCUACAGGUGGAGGUGGAGAAUUUUGUCCUCCGAGUGGCUGCAGAGUUCUCCUCCAGGAAGGAGCAGCUUGUGUUUCUGAUCAACAACUACGACAUGAUGCUGGGUGUGCUGAUGGAGCAGGCUGCUGACGACAGCAAAGAGGUGGAGAGUUUCCAGCAGCUGCUCAAUGCUCGGACACAGG